rnacentral:rRNA from 3 species
AAAACAACUCUCGGCAACGGAUAUCUCGGCUCUCGCAUCGAUGAAGAACGCAGCGAAAUGCGAUACUUGGUGUGAAUUGCAGAAUCCCGUGAACCAUCGAGUCUUUGAACGCAAGUUGCGCCCAAAGCCUUCGGGCUAAGGGCACGUCUGCCUGGGUGUCACGC